ACGGAGGGUGCAAGCGUUACUCGGAAUCACUGGGCGUAAAGGACGCGUAGGCGGGUUGGUAAGUCAGAUGUGAAAUCCUACAGCUUAACUGUAGAACUGCAUUUGAAACUACCGACCUAGAGUAUGGGAGGGGGAGAUGGAAUUAGUGGUGUAGGGGUAAAAUCCGUAGAUAUCACUAGGAAUACCGAAAGCGAAGGCGAUCUCCUGGAACAUUACUGACGCUAAGGCGUGAAAGCGUGGGGAGCAAACAG
rnacentral:rRNA from 1 species